UUGGUUUUCAAUCUACAUCCUAGUUUAUUAAUAACAAAUGAACGAGCACGAUUUCUGAUUCAUUUAAUUAUUGUACAUAAAUAUUUUUUUAUGAAAAAAAUAAUAUUGAUCGCAACCCGUUAUAGACUGGCCCACCGUACGCACGGACAAUUGAACACACUUCCUUAUUGUAGGGCUUGCGUCAUCCUCCGGGUAACGCCCCCCCGGCCCCGCACCCCGCUCACACCCCGCGGGACUCCUCAAGACCAUCUCUACCAUCCGAUGAAGCAGCCUGUCGUCGCUGUGAAAAUAUUCGCGGAAGUGUAACUCAUCGGGUUUCAAGCUCUUCAGAAUAAGCAUAUGGCUUUGCGAAUAAAAAUGGUGUUGAUUUGUGUGAUGAUUAA